rnacentral:rRNA from 1 species
ACUACGGGAUGCUGCAGUGAGGAAUAUUGGUCAAUGGACGCAAGUCUGAGCCAGCCAUGCCGCGUGCAGGAAGACGGCUCUAUGAGUUGUAAACUGCUUUUGUACGAGGGUAAACGCAGAUACGCGUAUCUGUCUGAAAGUAUCGUACGAAUAAGGAUCGGCUAACUCCGUGCCAGCAGCCGCGGUAAUACGGAGGAUUCAAGCGUUAUCCGGAUUUAUUGGGUUUAAAGGGUGCGUAGGCGGUCGGAUAAGUUAGAGGUGAAAUCCCGAGGCUCAACUUCGGAAUUGCCUCUGAUACGGUUCGGCUAGAGAGUAGUUGCGGUAGGCGGAAUGUAUGGUGUAGCGGUGAAAUGCUUAGAGAUCAUACAGAACACCGAUUGCGAAGGCAGCUUACCAAGCUACUUCUGACGUUGAGGCACGAAAGCGUGGGGAGCAAACAGGAUUAGAUACCCCUGUAGUC